GAUAUAUUAGAGCAUGAGCAUCAAAAGUUUAAGAGGGGAGUUCUCACACAUCUCAAAAAAAAAUAUAUUAUAAUAAUCAAUUACUAGAUUUUGAGCUGCGCUUGAAAGCGCGGAUUUGAUUUUGUUUUACUUUUCGUAAUUAUGAAAUUUAGGAUUUGAAUCAUAUAAUUUUGAAGAUUAUAUCACUAAUAUAUAGGUCAUUUGCAUAAACACAAUUAAUUUGUAUGAAAUUUUAUCACGCGUUUGUGUUUUUGAAGUUUGUUCGAAAUUUGUUUGAAGAUUCAUUUGUAUGUAAAAAUAGUAUAGCAAUUUGAAACUGAUAUAAUAUAGUGUUAUUAGUAACGAUUUAUGUUACAUUUAAUUGUAUGUAUAUUAACAAUCAAACUACCAAUUAUAAAACCAAGUAUUAGAAUAUUUUUUAAAUUUUUUUUAAAAAAGUAUCUAUAAUAUAAAUCUAAACUACAAUUUCCUAUUUUAUAAAAGUAUCAGAGAGACAUAUGUUCCAUUAUUAAAAGUUAGGCUUUAAAAAGAAUGUUUUAUUCACAUAUGUUUUUGUAAGUUAUGUUCUUAAGUAUUUGGAAUUUUUCCUAUUUUAAAUUUAAUGUGGGUCUCAAUUUAAUUAUGUUAAAAAUUUUGGUCUUAUUAAUUUGGGUUUAUCUGUGUUAGAAAUUAAUUUUGUAGUCGAUGGUACUAUGCUCCUUGUGGGUGAAAUGAAUAUUUCGAUGUUUUUAAAAGUGGGGGAAAUGAAUAUUUCGAUAAGGUUAUGUUAUAAUAGGUUUGGUUUUGGUUCAUGUAAUUUAUUUUGUUUGGGUAGGGUGGUUUAGCAAUCUAUUUAAAUGGUUAAGAAUAAAUAAUAAUGUAUCCAGUUUGAUAGUUAGAGUAAAAAUCGCUUAUAUAUAAGGUAAAAUAUCUUGUCAUGUAUUGUUAUAAUAUAAAGGAGAAGUCCAAAAAAAUAAAAAAGUAAAUGGUCCAAACAACCUUUUUAAGUAGAUUUAUUAAAACUCCUUCUAUUUUAAUAGUAUUGAUGGUGAACUCGUUUUGUUACGCUCCUUUCUCAUAAACCCGGAUCGUUACUGUUUAGCGGGCCCCACACCACGUGGCGGCCCGCUAUUGAUCAGUUUAUUUAUUUAAAAAAAAAGCAAACGAAAAAUAAUAAAAAAUAACAAAAAAAUUAAAUUGUGAAUCCCAACCGGGGGUUCAUUAAUUGCUUGCUCUUAGUUCUGGUCAAGAAUCCUAUUAACAUUAGCAAAAUAAUAUAUUUAAUUAGUUGCAAGUAGUACGUAGCUGUUACAAAAAAAAGUUGGAAGUACGUAGCUUGAUCACUUAAAAAUAAUACUUUGUUUUAGUUAGAUCUUAAUUCGAGUUUGUGGGUAAUGUAUUGUAUACAAUGAUAUUCUUUAUUUGUUUGCACAAAAAAAAAAAAUUAUUUAUUGAUAUAUUGUUGAAAAAUCAUUUCUUGAUACAGUGAUACAUCAUGAUCUCUGAUUUAAGAGAACCAUUAAUUUUGGAUGCUGGCUUAGCAUUUUUUUAAUUAAAAAAAAAGAAAGAAAAGAAGAAGAAGAAGGAAUACUUAAUUAGACAUCACAAAGUGGCGGUUGUUUGCACUGUUCGCGGGCCCUACAGACACGUAGCGGCUCGUGAUUGAUUAUUCUUUUAAAAAAAAAUUUCAAACAAAAAAAAAUUAAAAAGUUUUUUUAAGCAUCCCACUUAAGUAACUUUAGGGUUAAUGGUGCUCUAAGGAAAUAUGUAGAAAAAAUGACUAGAACUCUGCAUUGUUUAUAUAAAAAGAAGUAAAUGAUUAUAACGUUUUCUUUCUCUUUUUAAUUCUUGUUUCCCCUUAUUAGAAGAACUCCGCUUGAAUGCUUGAUCUUUGUGAAAGGGACAUUGAAUUGCCUUUCGGUUAGAAAAGGACAAAUCUGUUAUGUGUCAAGUUUUAUCAGUUUACUUUUCGUGACUCUAUCGAUUCCGUUUUAUUACGUGUACUGAAAAAAAAUCUCACGUUUUAUUCUCCAUCCUUUUAUGUACAUUAAUAUACACAGCAAUGAAUUAAAUAGGCAGAACUGGUAAAAAUAUCAUAACUUCAUAAGUAUCUGAAGAUUAAAAGAUUGUGAAAGAAAAUUUGGACAUGGAGUCCAAAUAUAGACCAAAAUACGAUCUUUUGUGUGAAAGUAGUUUUAUGGACAAGAAGUCAAAUGGUCUAAGAGAUUCUCUAACAAUCAAACGAGUUUAUUCUCUAAGAAUAUGCUUAUAGAAAUUUCUAAAAGGAUGAUAUAUAUGAUGAGAAUACAUCUCGCGAAGAUGAUGCUUCCAGGGAGAGAAUAUGAUGAUGUGCGUGGUUGUACUCUUUUUCCUUAUCAUUGGUUUUGUCCCAUUGAGUUUUCUAUGUUAAGGUUUUAACGAGGCAACAAAGAACACGCAAAUGAUAGAUACUUUGAGAGGAAUGUUAUCACUUUACUAAUAAAGAUCUAUCAAUAUUCCAAAGUAUUGUUUGAGAUUUAGAGAAGCAGAAGAUAAUGAUCAAAGAUCAAUCAUACUUGAAGAAGAAUCAAGGUAUGGACACAUUUCAUUCUUGAGACAGAAUCGAAGGUCAAAAGUUUUCCAAUCAAAGGAGACCUUCUAGAUGGAAUUAAAAUAUGAAAUGUGUGUUCAGAGAAAUAUCUUUGAGUCUAUUUUUCAUCUCCAAUUUGAAUCAAGUCAUUCCCGAUGAUAGAACUCGAGAUAUGGCUGUUUUUGUGGAACAUGUACAAGCUGUUUCAGAAUACCUUAUUUCGACUGAUAUCCCAAAUAUUGCUCGAUACUACCAUCUUACCAGAGCUAGACCAGUACCUAACGUUAGACAUGUAUGCUAGCUUCGAUUUCCAAGUGGUUUGAAGUCAUUUUGUCCUAUGGUCACCAAGAUAUUCAAGUUUUAGUGAGGAGUGUUAAAUCUUACAAGAGAAGUGAACCGGUCCAACCCCAAGAAGAAGGAGUUAUAACAUCAUAUUGGAUUGUGUCAUAUCAGAUAUCUCAAGUUAUGUUUCAUCAGGGGAGGAGAUGCGCGCUGCACUCUUUUUCCUUUCACCACAGUUUUUCCCACUUGAUUUUCCUGGUAAGGUUUUUAAUGAGGUAGCAUCUUAUGCGCUUUAGAAAAUAUUUUUUCAAUGUACAUCCAAGGAAGAAUAUUAUGAACUAUUAUGUGGAUGUUCAUUAAGCCCAUAAGCCCAUGUUCUAGAGGAUUCUGAAACUAAUGUUGUAUGGUGACCUAUGGAAUAAUAAGAAUAACUGAUUUCCUCUUUCUCUAUUCACAACACGGUUAGUCCACUUUAACUUAUGUAUAAUAACAAAACAAUUUCCGAUUUAACUUCUGAAUAAACUCUGAUUAGUCCACUUUAACUUAUGUAUAAUAACAAAAAAAUCCGAUUUAACUUAUGUAUAAACUCUGGUUAGUCCACUUUAACUUUAGUCCACAUUGUAAUAAGUAUUUAGUUCGGUUUAGACCGGUUAUUAUGGGUAUCGGAUAGUUCGAAAGAGUGUAUAAAGUCCACUCAAGAAUCAAAUAUUUUAUUUUUAUAGUUGGGUUGGAUUAAUUUUUGAUUAUGGUCAGUUCGUUUAAUAAUAUUUAAAUCUGAUUAAUAUCGGAAAAAAAAAAUCACAGUUUCAUUUUCUCGGAUAAUUCAGAUAAAGUUUAUUUAAAAAAAAAUAUAUCGAAUAGUUUAUAUAAAUCUUUACUAUAUAAAAGGAGCUAAUUUGAAGGCCAAAGAGGGGUGCCACAUAAGCAAAAAAAUUUCCCACCAAUCAUUUUGCCAUGUCAUCACGGCCCAUCAUUCAUCUUGCAGCAAGCAAAGGUUUAAGCCCAUUCUUUUUAUUUUUCUUGAGGUCCAGUAGUCAUCUUGCAGCUUCUUCCUCUCGAACCCUAGGCACUUCCUCCGACAUCAAGCUCUCGAAAUCGAUUGUCUAUCUCCCUCCUCCGGAAUAAUGCAUGUAUCAUCAUCAAUGAAAAAACCGAGCCCAACCUUCAAUGCUCCUUAAUCACCCUUCAAGACAAAGCUUCGUGCAUCCCUCCUAACCAACGAUUCUGAUGGCUCUUCAAGUAACCAUCAUUACUCACUCAUUAGAAACGUCCAACUCUCUGUGUUUCCCUUAUCAGAAUAUUUAUAUCCCCAUCAAUCUCUUUUCUCAGUCGCAAAAUUUCAUUGACCCAUUCCUAAUAAUACCAUGGCUACUCGGCAGUAAGACACCACUUCCAAUGCUCCUGCACUCUUCUUCAGUCAAGUGGCUGUCACAGGACCAUCCACUUCGAAGAUGCUGUUUCUUCAUUCCUGGGAAGCUUGCAACCAUGCCAAAGGAGACAUAUUGUUUAGCUUUCUGAUAUAAAUCAAUCCAGGUACUGUGGCACAAGGUUUCAUUGCUCAAAACCGUCUCGAGUGAUAUGAAAGUCGGCUCAAGCAUGGCUCCAUCUACACACUCCAACAACAAGGCUAUGUUCCGUUUAGCUUAUCAGAAGAGUGUUAUUUGCUUUACACACGACUCUGUCCUUUCAGGGCCUGAAGAAAAUAGUCUCCCCAAUUUUGUCAGACCGAUUCAGAAUGCACUCCUUUACAGAUUUUGAAGCCAAUUGUGAUCUCAGAGGUUAUCUUCAUGAUGUUGUUGGCCACCUUAGUUUGGUUGAUGGUCAUCCUCUCCAUCCACGUCCAGUAUUAUGCAUUACGUAAGGCGCAACUUUCUGGAAAUUAUUGGCCCAUUUGCAGCUUAAAGAGUAAGAAAUUAUUAUUAAUGGCUUGAAGUGUAAUAUAACUUGCAGUUCUUCAAAGGUACACUGUCUUAUUUUCUCAUACAAAGAAAUCAGUGACGCCAUGUGUGGUUUUGAUAGAAUUCUUCAGAUCAGUGAAGGUGGUUUUGGUAGUGUAUAUAAAGCCAUCAUUAACGAUCCAACUGCAACUGGCGGAAAUUCUCAUUCUGUUCCACUUGCUGUCGCUGGUAAGAGAUUCAAACGAUAAAGUCAAUAGUGCGGCUCUUAGGAUAUUGCUCAGAGGACACAAAGAGCUUUUUGAUAUGGAAACAAAGGCUUGAGAUCAUGCUCCGUGCAGCUCAAGGAUUGGCUUAUUUGCAUGAACUCCAGGUAAUAUACGGAGACUUCAAAUCAUGAUGCGUUUUUUUCGAUGAUGAUUUUAAUCCAAAAUAAUCAGGCGUUGAUCUGGCUAAAGAAAGGUAUUGGAGAUAAUACUCAUUUUGUUACUGCAAGAGUACCAGAAGAAACGACUAUGCAUCUCGGAGUACGUAGAACCCGUCAUCACAAGAACCACAUCGAUGUAAAUAUCUUUGGAAUUGUUACGUACAUGAUUAUUGCUGGUCUUCGCACACUCAAGCGAAUGAAAAGAUUCUUUUGGAAAGGAUCAAACUAUUUUGUGCUCAUAUAUAUAUUAUAUAAAGCUUUGGAAUGAUAGUUGACUUUGAAUCUACGAAACAAGUAUUUUUUUUUGCUAUAGUUAGCAGAGUGGCUAAAGAGAAACCCAAACAUCGCCUUUGUCGUUGAAAGUCUUUGUAAGAUCAUUUUGAAAUCAAAUUCCGAAGAUAUGAAAAGUUCUAUUGGAGAAUUUACUA